GAUAUCGAGGAGGCGCCAGCCACCAUCGCCGCUCCAGCUGUGUUUGAGUUCAUGGAACAGUGUGCCGUCCUCCUGGCCAAGACCGUGGGUUACGUGAGCGCGGGUACGGUGGAAUACCUGUACAGCCAGGACGGCAGCUUCCAUUUCUUGGAGCUGAACCCACGCUUGCAAGUGGAGCAUCCGUGCACUGAAAUGAUCGCAGACGUCAACCUGCCUGCCGCACAGCUGCAGAUCGCCAUGGGGGUGCCCUGCACCGGCUGAAGGACAUACGACUUCUGUAUGGAGAAU